rnacentral:piRNA from 1 species
CGGAAGUAAGACUGGGUGGAUGA